rnacentral:rRNA from 2 species
AAACUUUCAGCAAUGGAUGUCUUGGC